CGCUACAGAUACGAGGCGACACAGGGGGCUGCUCUUAGAACUCACUCAUGUGGAUGACAGCUGGACUUCGGUGUGACAUUCAGUCAGUGUGAUUCUUGUAGGAGACAGUAAAGAAUGAAGAGGAAGGGAACCACCAGCAGCUUUUCCCAGCCUAAAAGAAGAGAGGAGGAAGAGCAUCCCAGAGAGGAGAUGGAGGAGGAAGAGUUCAGAGAGAGAGAAAGAAAUGAAGGCAUGCAGAGCUGAGACAGUGAAAGACCAAAGAACUACAGACUCUUCACAACCUGCUCAAACUCUUGGUACAGGACCUCACCACACGGGUCAAGAAGGUUUCCGUCUCAUUUCUACUCUGAAGCUCACCUUCUCCAGCUCAAACUGCUGACAAAUGUUUCUGCUGCUCUAAAGUCUGGUCUCCAGAACUUCCUAAAAACUCUCAAAGUCUCUUCUGCUGCAGGCUGCUUUGUAGAACUGUUCCAGAAAACCUCACUAAACCACAUGGAGGGGCCUCAAGAUAGUCGUCCAAAUGAAACCAUACAAAAACCAAACUAGCACAACCCAAACGCUAAAGUUUCCUGCAGCCUACCAGAGAACCUCUUUAAACAGAGAAUCAGGACAGGAACUCUUACCUUCUGGACAACCAACGUUGGUUCACAAACAAGAAUACAGAAUGUGUCUGACCAAAAACCUCUGAAGACUCACUACAGCCAAGAUAAAGACACAACUCAGCUGCACCAUAUCCACUAAUCACUGCACACAUUAGCACCAUGUGCUAACUGUGGCUAAAGAACCACAUUUACCAAGACAACUAUCCAGUACAAAGCCCUAAAACACACCAAGAAACACAUUAAAGACAAUUUUACUGCUGGAAGCUGCAAGCCAACGCCUAAAGAACAAACUAAAGCAAUGGAGCCAAAGUGGUGAAGAGAAGCAGAGGAAAUGUUUGGCUGCAGCUAAAUAAAGCAGGAAGACACUGAGCUGCUCAGGUGUUCCUGAUAACACCAAGCAGCCACCUGGACAGCCAAUAGGAACACAGCUUACUGGAAGUCCAGAGGGCUGGCUUAGUGAAGGAAAUUUAGUUUAAAGUUGAAGCAGAAAGUAAACAAAGAAAGUUGAAAACCACCUUCUGAUACCUGAAAUCUCUGAGUUUUCACACAAAGAACACCUGAACAUGUCAAACUGGUUCCAUAGUAGAACCAUCAUUGUGAAAACGUCAUAGUAUGGUGUGUUGCUCAAAAAAUAUUACGACCCGGCUGUCAGGGGUUGCAGAGGAGCAACACAAAAACAGGACAAACGCUGGUUUCCAGGGGGUUAGGAGGCUAUUUAUUUGAAAGAGUAAGUUUACAACAACACAACAUGUGAGCAGAAAAAUCACAAAGUCUGUCUUUAGUUCAGCUGAAAAUAUUAGUUUUUCUCUUUUUUAUUGACCAAACUUUUCAGGAAGUAGAUGAAGAAUAAUUAAAGCUCUCAUGUAGUAGUCCAAUUUAUUUUGGAUCCUUAUGGAGAGUUUAAUCUUAGAAUUUGUAAAAAUGUUGAGGUUUUAGAGUCACAUGGAUUGUUUUGACAUUUAAUAACCGAGUCCUGAAAUAAAAUUAUAGUUGUGGAUUUCUGUCAUUUAGUCUGGACUAAACAAAUAACAGCAGCAUAAAUCUCAAAUGUCAUUAUGAGGAGUCUGGAUUGAGGUUUCUCACUUGAUAAUGAUCAAAACAUGAAAUUUAGGUUGGUUUAAAGGAAUAUUCCACCUUAAAUCUUUGAAUGUUGACCUAAAAGGUUGGUUUCAGGAAGUAUUCCACCUACAAGGUCCUCACGCAUCCACCUUAAAGGAACAUUCCACCAAAAAUCCUUGGACAUGCACCUAAAAUGUUGGUUUAACCGAGUAUUCCAUCCAAAAUCCUCAAAGAGACCUGAGGGGUUGGUUAAAAGGAAUAUUCCACCUAAAACCUCAAAUAUAGACCCGAAAGGAUGGUUUAUAAAAAAAUCCUUCAAUGUAGACCAAAAAAGUCAGUAUGGAGGAAUAUUCCACCUGAAAUGUAGACCUGAGAAGUUGGUUUGGAAGAAUAUACCUUCCUAAACAUCCUUAAAUGUAGACUAAAAGACGGUUUGGAAGAAAAUUCCACCUAAAAUCCUCCAAUGUAGACCUAAAAGGUGAGUUUAAUGGUAUAUUCCACCUAAAAUUCACUACUGUAGACCUUGGAGGUUGGUCUGAUGGUAUAUUCCACCCAACAUCCUUGAACAUAAACUUAAAAAGUUUGUUCAAAGGAAUAUUUCACCUAAAAUCCUUCAGUGUAGACCAAAAGAAUCUUGGUGUAAAGGAGUAUUCCACCUUAAAUGUAGACCUAAAGGAUGGUUUGGAGUAAUAUUAUAAUCUAAAAUCUUCCAAUGUAGACCUAAAAGGUUGAUCUGAUGGUAUAUUCUACCCAACAUCCUGGAACAUUUACCUAAAAGGUUGGUUUAAUGGUAUAUUCCCAGAAGAACCCUUGAACAUUGGGCUUAAUGGUAUAUUCCACCCAAAAUACUUCUACAUAUACCAAGAAGUCAGUGUAAAGGAAAUGUAGACCUAAAAGGAUUGUUUAAAGGAAUAUUUAAACUAUUAUUUUCAUGAUUUAAUAAUCUGUUAUCAGUCAGAACCCUGGCAAACUUAUUUUCAUCAGUUUUUUUAGUGGAAGUCACAAAUAAAGGAGCUCUUGGUUUUUCCCGGCGUUACUGAGUCCAAAGCUGCUGUUUCAACACAGAACGUUCA
ensembl:lncRNA